GAUGAAGAACGUAGCGAAAUGCGAUAAGUAAUGUGAAUUGCAGAAUUCAGUGAAUCAUCGAAUCUUUGAACGCACAUUGCGCCCGCCAGUACUCUGGCGGGCAUGCCUGUUCGAGCGUCAUUUCAACCAUCAAGCCCCCGGCUUGUGUUGGGGACCUGCGGCUGCCGCAGGCCCUGAAAACCAGUGGUGGGCUCGCUGUCACACCGAGCGUAGUAGAUUUUCAUCUCGCUCAGGGCGUGCUGCGGGUUCCGGCCGUAAAAAGCCUUAUUUACCCAAGGUUGACCUCGGAUCAGGUAGGAAGACCCGCUGAACUUAAGCAUAUCAAUAAGCGGAGGA
rnacentral:misc_RNA from 1 species